GACCCCAUGGAGUAGCGGCAAUCUCAGCGCCCUUUCACGGCGAAGAUCACGGGUUCGAGUCCCGUUGGGGCCA
rnacentral:tRNA from 2 species